GACGAACGCUGGCGGCGUGCCUAAUACAUGCAAGUCGAGCGAACAGACGAGAGUGCUUGCCCCCUCUGACGUUAGCGGCGGACGGGUGAGUAACACGUGGGUAACCUACCUAUAAGACUGGGAUAACUUCGGGAAACCGGAUCUAAUACCGGAUAAUAUUUAGCUUCGCAUGGAGCAAUAGUGAAAGACGGUUUUGCUGUCACUUAUAGAAGGACCCGGGGUGUAUUUGCUAGGUGGUGGGGUAACGGCUCACCAAGGCCACGAUACAUAGCCGACACGAGAGGGUGAUCGGCCACACUGGGACUGAGACACGGCCCAGACUCCUACGGGAGGCAGCAGUAGGGAAUCUUACGCGAGGGACGAAAGUCUGACGGAGCAAUGCCGCGUGAGUGAAGAAGGUUUUCGGAUCGUAAAGCGCUGUUGUAAGGGAAGAACAAGUACGUUAGUAACUGAACGUACCUUGACGGUACCUUACCAGAAAGCCACGGCUAACUACGUG
rnacentral:rRNA from 1 species